rnacentral:rRNA from 1 species
UACGGAGGGUGCGAGCGUUGUCCGGAAUCACUGGGCGUAAAGGGCGCGUAGGCGGCUUGGUAAGGGUGCGGUGAAAGCCCGGGGCUCAACCCCGGGUCUGCCGGACCGACUGCCGAGCUUGAGCACACUAGGGGCAGGUGGAAUUCCGGGUGUAGCGGUGGAAUGCGUAGAGAUCCGGAAGAACACCGGUGGCGAAGGCGGCCUGCCGGGGUGUGGCUGACGCUGAUGCGCGACAGCGUGGGGAGCAAACAGG